ACUUGAGGCUGUGGAAGCCGCGUGCCUGGGGCGUAGACAGGGCUUAGAUCUUUUAGAAGAAAAGAAACCGAUUGCGGUAAAUCCUCUGGACUACGCCGGGUCCUCGGAAGCUGUGCGCUAACCAAAAUCCCCGACGCUGGCAGUUGCCAUUGUUCCCCAGAGGCAUCCACACUAAUGGGACCCAAGUAUUGUGCAGCUUCAUUUUACAGUGAGGAAACUCGGUGUAUGCAGGAUAGGGAACUCUACAUGGACCACAGAAGGCAAAAGCCUGCUGCUUUCCUGUGCAGGGUGGAGUGUACUAAGUUAGCAUCCUGUGAUGUACUUGCCCCAGCCAGCAACAGCAGAGAAGCACACAGGUAACACAGCUCCUUGAAGUUGGACCCUCCAGUGUUGUGUCAUUUGCCUUUCUUUUCUCAAGGGUUGUUGAAGAACCAAGACCAGGUACAUUUCAGCAGUUUCAUGCCCAAUGGUAUCCUGAAGCAGACGUAUACAGUGAUGGCCUGAGAGUCAUCUGGCCAGUGCUCCCAGGCACUGCCUGCCAGUAGCCCCAACCACAUCUGUGCAGCACAGUCCUCAGGACCUACACCAACAUCCCUUGAAAAAAAACAACAGUGUCUUUGUGGGUUUUAGGGGUUUUUUGUUGUUUUGUUGUUUUUUACAUGAAGAGUAGUCUAAACAAAAAUUUACAAAGCUCACUGAACUUAAAAUACUCUGGAAGUGUUGAUCAGCAAGAAGGCUGUGCUUUCAAACCAAAACAUGCCACAGAUGGCACCCAAAAGCAGGCAAUCUGUGAGCCUUCAGUGUGCUGUACACUCCUGGCUGAUAUUGUUUAGGACACCUGUGAACAGAAUGAGUGCUACAGGGCAUGCUCUGGGAGAAACAGUCUCUUCAUCUUCCUUGCCUAAUGCCUCAAUAAGCCAGGGAGCCUGGUGGGCUUCCCAGUGUCAUUAGCCGUGUGGAUCAUGUGGUCUCCUGGGAUGCCUGGUUUAGGUAGCCUCAAAGUUUCCCACUCACAGCUUUCUUGGAGAAAGGACAGUGGGGCAGAUCCCACAACCACUGUCACCACUUAUAAAAAGCAUUUCCCUUAUAAAUGGGACCCACCUGCUCCCUAAGGAAUUUCUAGCACCUAAGUAGCCUAUCACAAUCCAAGUGUCUCUGCCUGCCCUGAAAUAAGCCAAGAACUCUGAUAAGCAGAACAUGCCACAACUUGGCCCAGGAGAUGAGAAACCCAGCCGGGGUGCAAGCUGCAUGCAGACUACUCACUGUACCCCAUAAAGCACCCCAGAGCAUGGAACUGCAGCAGAAAUUGAAAUCUGCGUGCACAGCUAACCUCUUCAGCAACAGAAGCUACCUGAGAGCAAAGAGAAUGGCUCUGUACAACACCCACACACUGUCCUUUGGCUUUUGGUCAGGACUCCACAGACUGUCCAGUGCACAGGCCCUUCUUGAGUGCAUGGAGCUCCCAUGAGUGUCAUCUGUGAGUUUGCCACUGCUCUACCCAUGUAACUGGAAAACUUGUAAGCCAGACACAACUUUCCAUUUCUACCAUCAAUCCUCACAGGAGGGUUUUGGUGUCUAAGUGUCUGAGGACAGCAAGUUGGGUGGGAGUCCUCUACCUGGCCUCUCUUUGAUAGAAGAGUUGCUAAGAACACCAGCUGCAGGAGACUGGAAAUGACCCAACACCAUGGGAGGAAACACAGUACUUGGUCCACACCUUGUGCAGAAGGCAGAUCUCAAACAAGAGCAAGCCAGCUUUCCAGGAACUGUUUAAGAAGCAGGCUCCAGAGCCAGCUGAAUACAGGCAGUGAAGCUGUGUGUAUACUCAGGCUGUUAAGAACAGAUGGUGGGAGCCACCUGGUAUCCUGCACUAGCCCAAAGCACAACCAGGUGCCUGCCUGAGCCCAGCUCCUCUCCCAGGAGCCUGGGAAACCACAGACAACAUAUUGUGCAUUAACCAGGCCAUGCAGAAACACCCACAGGAACCUGGCCUGGCUUCUAGGGCAGCUUCAUGAUACAGAAAGUCCCUACAUGCCUGCCUAUGUACACAUCAUACACAUGAAUAAGUAAAUAAAUGUUAUUUAUAUAAA